rnacentral:rRNA from 1 species
GAUGAACGCUAGCGGCAGGCCUAACACAUGCAAGUCAGGGGGUAACAUAGAAAAGCUUGCUUUUCUGAUGACGACCGGCGCACGGGUGCGUAACGCGUAUACAACCUACCUUUUAGCGGGGAAUAGCCCAGGGAAACUUGGAUUAAUGCCCCAUAGUAUAUAGACUUCUCCUGAAGUUUAUAUUAAACAUUUAUGGCUAUUAGAUGGGUAUGCGUCCUAUUAGUUAGUUGGUAAGGUAACGGCUUACCAAGGCAGCGAUAGGUAGGGGUCCUGAGAGGGAGAUCCCCACACUGGUACUGAGACACGGACCAGACUCCGUACGGGAGGCAGCAGUGAGGAAUAUUGGACAAUGGGCGAGAGCCUGAUCCAGCCAUGCCGCGUGCAGGAAGACUCGCCCUAGUGGGUUAGUAAACUGUCUUUUACAGAGGAAGAACCCACCCCACGUGUGGGGGUUUGACGGUACUCUGCGAAUAAGGAUCGGCUAACUCCGUG